UUGGCAUUCUAUAUACUCAAUCUGAAACUUUACAACACUUCUUAUAAAUAAGCAUUAUUUUCCUCUUUGAGCCUCAGCUAACUUAAAGGUCCAAAGUAACACAAUCAAGUUAUAAUACUGACAUCUAUCUCCAUGGGAGGUGUUGACAUUUUGCUGAAACCUUCCAAGACGGGAACUCCUGCUGUGGAUAGGAGAUGCCAUUUCAUUGAAAAUGAGAAAUCAGAAGUCAAAUAUACUGUGAUUUACACCUCUGCUCACCUUUGAAUGUAGUAAAUCCUGAGUGAAACCUGAACUGCUUUAUAGGCAAAAAUAGUACCUCUAAGCUAGAGUUAAAUCUCUCCUGCUU
rnacentral:lncRNA from 1 species